AGAGUUUGAUCCUGGCUCAGAUUGAACGCUGGCGGCAUGCCUUACACAUGCAAGUCGAACGGCAGCACGGGAGCAAUCCUGGUGGCGAGUGGCGAACGGGUGAGUAAUACAUCGGAACGUGCCCAGUAGUGGGGGAUAGCCCGGCGAAAGCCGGAUUAAUACCGCAUACGACCUACGGGUGAAAGCGGGGGAUCGCAAGACCUCGCGCUAUUGGAGCGGCCGAUGGCAGAUUAGCUUGUUGGUGGGGUAAAGGCCCACCAAGGCGACGAUCUGUAGCUGGUCUGAGAGGACGACCAGCCACACUGGGACUGAGACACGGCCCAGACUCCUACGGGAGGCAGCAGUGGGGAAUUUUGGACAAUGGGCGCAAGCCUGAUCCAGCCAUGCCGCGUGCGGGAAGAAGGCCUUCGGGUUGUAAACCGCUUUUGUCAGGGAAGAAACGCUCCGGGCCAAUACCCCGGAGUAAUGACGGUACCUGAAGAAUAAGCACCGGCUAACUACGUGCCAGCAGCCGCGGUAAUACGUAGGGUGCAAGCGUUAAUCGGAAUUACUGGGCGUAAAGCGUGCGCAGGCGGCUUUGCAGGACAGAUGUGAAAUCCCCGGGCUUAACCUGGGAACUGCAUUUGUGACUGCAUGGCUGGAGUGCGGCAGAGGGGGAUGGAAUUCCGCGUAGCAGUGAAAUGCGUAGAUAUGCGGAGGAACACCGAUGGCGAAGGCAAUCCCCUGGGCCUGCACUGACGCUCAUGCACGAAAGCGUGGGGAGCAAACAGGAUUAGAUACCCUAGUAGUCC
rnacentral:rRNA from 1 species